UUGUAAUUUGUUUCCGAUACCCUUCUCCUCAAAUGAGAGUCACGCCUCUUUGCCCAUCUCCUAGCGCUUGCCAUCGACGGUGGCGGCGGUCCAGAUCCGGCGCCAACCUCCGGGACUACGUCCACUGCAGGGGCUCCCUGCCUCCUCCAGGUCGACCGGCUCCACCAUCCAGGCGUCCCCGGCGUCGUGCUCCACAUCGUCGAGUGGGAUCCGGCCGUCGCCACCGCCACGGUCUCCACCUCUCCAGGGGCAGCGGGCGCCCCUCCCCACUCCCCCGACGGGUCCGUGACCGGGCUGAACACCCACGGCACGGGCGUGAAACGCAGCCCGACGGCCGCACGCCAAAGCUCUUCUUCCUAGUCUCGGACGGUAGAUUGAACCGAUGAACCUUAUAUAGAGUCCAUGGAGGUCCUGGUCUCUCCCAACACAUGAAGCUAGAUGAGCAAGAAGGAUAACAACUGCCAAAGGCUAGAGCUUUUCUAUCAUGUACCAUCAAGAUGCUUGUUGGCUAUCAGUCCUUAAUACUAAGUCUUGCGGACAUGUACUAAAGAUGAUCCUCUCAUGUUAUAAGGAUGCAUCAUUUGAUAUCUGUGUUCCUCAUGUGUUCUGUUCCGUCUGGGAUGGCUUAAUUUUCUCAUGUACUCAAGUACUUCCAGUUUGACAUGUGUGUAGUUCUGCUUGAAGAGAUGGCUUAAUUUCCUCAUGUGCUCAAAUGUUUGUGAUGUAUAAUGCCUUUAGUGCUCAACAUGUUCAACUUCCUUGCAUAGUUGGUAAUGUCUUACAAACCACUAAUGUACUUAAAUAUGCAUGGAUUUCAUCCAAUAGAUGUGUUCAAAUAUUUUUAUAUCAGACUAGGAGGAGAUGGGCAUCAACGCAAUGUCGCCCUGCAUAUUUCAAAAUGGUCGUAUGUCAACAAAAGGCUUGAGGUGGCUAUUGAAAAGUCUUGUUUCUUCUACUAACUGUUAGCAGGGGGGGGGGGGGGUUUUCAUAAAAUGUACACUUAAGUGAUCUGAGACCCUUCCACCCAAAUCUGUGCCAUUCAUCUCCAAUCCAGUGGACCAAGUUGCUUUUUCUAUUCUUUCACCUCAAGGCCAGAUUCUAUUGUAGUCGUUCCCAGUUGGACAUGACGUUGAAGAAAUUUUUGCAUAUAAUUGAGAACUCUCCAGUUUACCCCGUUAUAUAUGAUUGCAACAGGUAAACCAAUUUCAUGGUAUUAUGUUUGCAUUUCUCAUAUUUUUCUUUAAAUGCAUAUGGUUUUGUUAUAAAAGGCAAGACUCAUACAACAAGCUUGCAGAACUGUAUUAUCGUUACCUCCUAUCGUCAGUGGUGCACAUUCUGCUAUCACCCUGAACACAAGGAAUGUGUUUACCGAAUGCACUGCUACAUAGUACCUCAUAUCUAGAUAAUAAUUGAAAGAAGUGAUAGAUUUCAAUAAUUUCCGUAGAACAGUUGAUUUUUCUGAUGCAAACUGCAACCUUCUACUUCUACUGUAUCCAAUUUUGUUUUUGUUUGUUUGAGUAAUUGUGCAAGGCAAUGUUUUCUGCUUGAAUUAUCCGAAUUUGGGUACCUACCUUUUAGCAAGUGAAAUGUGCAAGGCAUUACCUUCAUACUGAUGUUACUACACAAUUACAGAGUUUUCCAUCCAAACAAGAUUUGGCAUUAAAGCCUCACUUGCUAAAAGCCAGGUACCCAAAUUCAAACUGUCAUGGGGGAUUUCUUCUUUAUUCUUUCUAAAUGCAGACCUUUAGCGAAUAUUCUGAAUCUUUAUUUAUAUACAAAGAAGAAUAUCAUGCAAAACCUCUCAUCCGUGCAGCCUUCAUUCAUCAUUUUUUUUCUCUCAAUUUUAUUAUCCCAGGCCUGCCGUGGAUGCAUGAGAAUAUUCUCAAUUAUGCACCGGACAACCAUCUACAAUUAUACCCUUUGCAGUGGGGCAAGAAGCCAGAGGACAUCCAUCUGAAGCAUUGCCCCACCAGUUCAAAGUGAUGUUAUCUAGUUCCAGGCAUAAAUAUAUCAAGACAGCCAUGAAUGCCAGACCAGCAUCAAGGGCACCUGAAAGAAGUUGACUGCAGUGGCAGGAGGCAUAUGACUGAUUCCACCGAGCAGCACGGGCAUAUUGACAAGCAAGAUCCAUUUUUGGCCUGGGAAUGCCUUGUGUGCAAGCCAGACAAGGAGGGGAGCAAUGGCACCGCCCAAAAAGAACCAGUUCACAGCAGAGUAAGUUCCCAAAUCACCGAAUAUUCUGCGUGGGCUAAUAAGGCCCCAUAUGACUGAUGCAUCGUAGA